rnacentral:rRNA from 1 species
AUUGAACGCUGGCGGAAUGCUUUACACAUGCAAGUCGAGCGGCAGCGCGGGGGCAACCCUGGCGGCGAGCGGCGAACGGGUGAGUAACAUAUCGGAACGUACCCAGUCGUGGGGGAUAACUAUCCGAAAGGAUAGCUAAUACCGCAUACGACCUGAGGGUGAAAGCGGGGGACCGUAAGGCCUCGCGCGAUUGGAGCGGCCGAUAUCGGAUUAGCUAGUUGGUGAGGUAAAGGCUCACCAAGGCGACGAUCCGUAGCUGGUCUGAGAGGACGACCAGCCACACUGGAACUGAGACACGGUCCAGACUCCUACGGGAGGCAGCAGUAGGGAAUAUUGGACAAUGGGGGCGAACCCUGAUCCAGCCAUGCCGCGUGAGUGAAGAAGGCCCUCGGGUUGUAAAGCUCUUUUGUCCGGAAAGAAAGCAAUCGGUUAAUACCCGGUUGUUCUGACGGUACCGGAAGAAUAAGCACCGGCUAACUUCGUGCCAGCAGCCGCGGU